UGAAAUGGGAGAUAGGCCUCCCAGAGGCCAAUGGAGAUGGGUGGUUGGGAAGGAUCCUCAUAAUUUCUCUACAUUUUCUUAAUUGAAGACUAAGGAGGUGACAUAACAGGGGCUCCCUCCCAUGCCACGCAUUUCUAUUGCUUUUGGGGUUCUCUCCUUUUUCCUUUCUUCCCGGCCGGUUGAAAUUUCAAUCUCUGCCUGUUCCAUAACUAUAUAUGCAGAUGAAAGGGUGCGUAGAGGAAAAUAUCUGAAAUGUGGACAGAGUUUAAUGGAGACAAUUGGGUGGGGAUUGGAAAGAGGCAUAAGCAUUUGAGGGAUCACAUGGUCUGUUUUCCAUCUCAAUCUCAAGAACUUGGUUGUUAUUAAGUCUGUAUGUUUGUUGGAGAACAUGAUCCCCAACAAUUGUUUGGACACCUACAAACUUUUUAUAUGUGGAUAGAAAAGACUUCUUUGAAGUACAAAACAGGCUUCAGACAUAUCCGUCCAUAGAUUAGCAAUGUUUAGACCACAUCAAUCUUGUAAUUAUAUAUUACUUACAUAUGUAUGCAUUACCUGCUAAGUGUCCAAUAGAUUAGCAAUCUUCAGACCAAAUUACUGGAUGAAAUAAGACGUAGGGAACGGUGUUUGUACAUAGGGAUACAGUUUGGUCAUUUGUAUGUGGAGAUGCUUUAUGUGAGUAGGAAGACAACCCAUGUUCUGUUUUGAUUUCUCACAAGCUAGUAUCCUUCAAUGGAACCCAUCUCCGCUCCUCGAGACCACUCAUUUCAUGUAGCAGGCCAUACUCUUUCAUCUAUAUAUACACAAGAGAUCUGGUUCAUAACCAGCAACACAAGUCUCUCUCCUUGCCAAGCAUCAAAGUCUUCUCUGUUUCCCAAGUCCUCUGAAUUCUUUUUCUUGUUCUAAUUUUCCACUUGAGAAUAUAAAAACCAU